rnacentral:rRNA from 1 species
UACGUAGGAGACGAGCGUUGUCCGGAAUUACUGGGCGUAAAGCGCGUGUAGGCGGAUGAGCAAGUCUGCUGUGAAAGCUCCUGGCUUAACCGGGAGUGGUCGGUGGAAACUGCUCGUCUGGAGGACGGUAGAGGUAGGUAGAAUUCCCGGUGUAGUGGUGAAAUGCGUAGAGAUCGGGAGGAAUACCUGUGGCGAAGGCGGCCUACUGGGCCGGACCUGACGCUGAGACGCGAAGGCGUGGGGAGCGAAC